CUUCGUCGAGGCCGCGCUUCUCGCCAACCAACUCGGCAAGUCUCUCCCGCGAAGAGCGGUAGCUUUUCUCGAGAAACUCGCGAAAUGACGCGCCACGGAAAGAUCGACGGAGUCGUCAAGAGGGGCAAAGGUCGUGACGGCUCACCGCUGCUGUGUCGGCUAUGUCGGCCAUCCGCUGGGCGAUCCGUGAUCCGCGAGAUCCUCGCUGGCGGACAUUAUAGCGACGUAUAGUUCACGUAAUUACACUCGCACGCACGUCGAUUACUCGCGCCGCGACAAUGUACUCAGCGCGAGUUAACGAGCCACCCCUGCUUGCCUACCAGGAACGAGCAGUCGCUGUUCGCCGUAUCGUCGAGCGACACCAACCCCCGUUCUCGCCCCGUGCGCUGACGACGUUACGGCCGCGGGCGCCUGCGUGCUGUUGCGACUUCGCGUUCCUGACGGCGACGAACGACCGACUGGGGUAGGGAUGCACGAGUUCAGUAGGCUAGUGCUGCUUCUCCGUCCCUUCGCAGUAUCAGGAUCAUGCACGAAGCAGAAACCUCAAAUCUCUGCUAUGAUCGAAGAGGAGAAUCAAAGAGACGGACAGCGAUAAGAGCGAUCGAUAUCUUGGAGAAAUAUAUUGGGUUGGC